UGUUUUGUUACUGUAGAGGGAGGCAUGCCACUGGGCAUGCUUUUUACACGUGCUUCCCCUAUUCUAUCCACAUUCUGUGUCAGUCCCCUGGUACGCAGUUGUGGAUAGUUGUAGCUGUGAUUGCACCGUAUUGAACUGUGUCACCCGCCGGGUUGCAGCCGUUGGUGAAAGCUUUCGACGCCAUUCCCAACACGGUCUAAGGCUGGGCAUCACAAAGGCUGGGCAUCACAGUACACCUGGGCCACUCCUGCAGCAUACGCGGUGCCGAAAUCCCAGCUGGGCAGUGUUUCCUGCGAUCUUAACCUGGAUGACAGCAUAACGACGCACUGAGAAUGCAACGCGGAGGCGUCGACUGCGCCGGUCGGUGCACAUUGCAUGGAAUAUUCCCAGGACGGUCGUGCAGCGUCUGCUGUAAACCUUGAAUGCUCCAGCACUAAUGUGUGCCAAUGCGACUUUCCCGGAAAUGUCGGUUUGGUAGAGCCUAACAAAGAUGCACAAGAGCAAGCCUCAGAAAAAAAGGACUUCAGCCAGCCAGACAUGCAACACGAAGAUUCUGGACAAGGGGAGGACAGCAGCCUGCCAGUUGCUCAAGACGAAGAAUCUGGACAAGGGGAGGACUCGAGCCAGCCAUAUGCACAAGAGGCAGACUUGGAGAUAGAAGUUCCCUGUUUUUUUAAUUCUGCCUGCGGUGUGCUGGUGAACUGUUUGGUGAAAUUGUUCAAGACAAUGUUGCAGUCUCAAAAGGUGAUAUUCUACUCAUGGUCUUAAAAUUUGCUGUCCAGCACAGCUUGACAUUUUCAGCACUAAUGGAUUUGGUUGAAAUGAUUAACUUGUUUUUUGAAAGGCCAGUUCUUGCCCAUUCUCAGCACAUGCUUAAGAAAAUAAUUGAAGGAUCUGGCACGCCAAUGAGUUUCCACUUCUUUUGUCCAGAAUGUUCCUUGUACAUAGGUUGCGUUGAUCCAAGUUCACCCUUUCAGUGCUCGCGAUGCAACCGCAACAUAUGUUUUUCAUCAGUCAACAAUGUAUAUUUUUUUGUACUUUUUGACAUACCUUCGCAACUCCAAAAGACACUGAAGGAAUGCGACUUCUUAGACCUGACAGAGCCUCUUGAAGCAAAAGAGUUUUUCAGAUAUUUGUGAUGGAGACCUGUACUAUGCUUUUGUGGCCUCGAAAGCAAAUGCCGGGCAUAGAAUUAGUUUUAUGUUAAAUGCAGAUGGUGCACCCCUUUUUAAAUCAAGUGGUACUGCAAGUUGGCCAAUUCAGUUGCUUGUAAAUGAACUGCCAGUCACACAAAGAAUGCAAAAAGUGAUUUUGGCUGCCUUGUGGUUUGGCAAGAAAAAGCCUGACAUGGUGCUCUUUCAGGACGCAUUUGUUGAUUCUGUAAAUGACCUUUCGGAGAAAGGAUUGAAUCUUGAGCACAAUGGCAGUACAAAAAAUUUCAAGGCCUUCUGCAUUUGUUGCGCUGUAGAUUCAGUCGCCAGGGCACCAAUGCAGGGUGUAAUGCAGUUUAAUGCAUAUCACGGAUGCAAUUAGUGCCUUCAAAAGGGCGAGAGUUCUACGUUCCACAAAGUACCUAGUACAACAAACAGUACAGGUAAGAACAGAGCUGCAAAUGAUGCAGGAUGUGCGAGAAGCUGUUGCUUGAGGCAGGUCCGUAAAUGGUGUCAGAACUGUGUCGCCACUGAUCAGGUUGGAGCACUUUAAUAUAGUGUGGGGGUUCGUCCCUGGCUAUAUGCAUUGCAUAUUGCUUGGUGUUGCAAGGCAGUUCAUGGAACUGUGGUUAGAUGAUACUAUUCAAGUUUUAUAUGGGAGCACACCAAGAUGUCAUUGACACAAGAAUAAUGGCAAUCACUCCUCCUGCAAAUGUGAAAAGAAUGCCAAGGCCAACAAGAGAACGCAAAUUCUGGAAAGCAAAGGAAUGGGAGAAUUGGCUCCUGUAUUAUAGCUUGCCAGUUUUAGAGGGCAUAGCUGAUCGCUCAUGCAUACAACAUUGGGCCUGCCUGGUGGAAGCAUUGCAUAUAUUGCUGCAAAAAGAAGUCGCGUCGUCACAGCUUACUCUUUGCGAAGAACUCUUACUAGAGUUUCAUGUUCGAGCUGAGCUGUUGUAUGGUAAAAGUUCCAUGACCUUUAACAUGCACCAACUAACUCAUAUUGGAAAGAGUGUGCACCAGUGGGGUCCUCUUUGGGCACACUCUGCAUUUCCAUUUGAAGAGAGUAACGGUUGCCUAAAAAAGGCAGUGAAGUCAGCAAAUGGGAUCCCACACGAAAUCUGUCGUAUGCUGCAAAUGGAGGAAACUAUUGAGGUUCUAUUGGCCACAGCUGCUGAACCAAGAGUUCUUGCUUACUGCAACUCGCUGGAUGCCAAGGAAACCCAGAACACUCUCAAAGUGAUGGGAGAUGUCAGUUUGUUUUGAAGGGGUGUCCCAUUCUCUGUAUCAGGGAGGCUGUCUAAAGGUGCUAGUGAACUUGCCAACAGUGUGCAGUAUCCCUGAAUGCUUAAGGGAGGUGUUGUUUUCACUGGGAGAGAGUAUUCUGCAGGAAAAAGAACUAAUAGUUCUCUAGUACAACUUAUUGAUAAUACCUAUGCAAUUAUUGAGAACAUAAUUUGCAAAAAACAAUCAGAAGCUUUUGUUAUUGUUAAGCCCUUGAAGUGCAAGCCCUUGAAGUACAGUCUAGUGACAAUGCAACACAUGUUAAAGGCUGUAGAAGAACUAUCAAUGGAGAUCAUAAUUCCAGCUACAAAGAUUGUGACUGUUUGUGUCUUUUUAAAGACAAGGAAAUACCUACAUCUCGCUAGUACCAAGCUCAUUUACAAUGUAGCCAAUAUGGUAAAAAGUUGCAAUUGUGUGCCUCACUAUGUCAUUUAUUAGCGAUAGUAUUGGUUUUCAGUUUCAACUGCAGAUUUUUUUUACUGUGCCCCAGGUUGCAGAAAAGUGCCUGUUACUGCACAAAUGUUGGGCACAUGCUGGACACCGUAAUUAAUGUCUUUGGAUUAGUUCUGACAGCCUUUUUCCACCUCUUUGGGCACUGCAUGUCAGUACUAUAAACUUUUUCCUCAGCAUAAUAAUGCUCACUUUAAUAAACCCAGUUGGCCAAUUUUGCAGUGCGAAAUAUAGAAUAUUAUAAAUGUAGAUAUUAUAAAAAGAGUAAGUGGUUAAAAUUUUAUAAUUUAAAUGAAUGAGAUAACUGUUAUGGUUAUCUUGGCAUUAUAUGUUUAUGAUUUUAGUAACGCUACAAACCAUGAGAAAUUUUUUGAAUCUGAAGAAAACCUGUUUACAGAGCUGUAUGAAACAAUUUGCACCCAGGCACAAUAUUUUGAGAAAUGUUUCUUGCAAUUGCUAUCUAAUAUGAAAAAAAAGCUUGUGAUGUGAGAAUAUGAAAUUUUUCCGGAACAAGUAAGCCAUUGCUAGCUACACUUUUAGUAAAAUCUGAGUUCAUUGUGCACUCACACACUCCUGAAGGGACGCGAAAUUAUAGUAUGAGGGUAAUUUUGGCUUUUGCUUGUUGCACAGUAGGGAUGUAUGAUGUGUUCAUCAGCUUCAUUUGGAAAUAUUUACUUUUGCAGCUUUCUUGUAUAGCCUUCAUAUUCUAUUCUCUUCGUUUAGCAUUAUGUAAAGUAGUCUAUAUAGCCGAUCGGGGGACACAUUUUGUGUGUAAGACUCGUGAAACUGUUUUGCCUUAUAGCCGAUUGGGGCGCACAUUUUGUGUGUAACACUCGUGAAACUGUUUGCUUUUAGGCAUCAUGCUCAUUUGUGAAAUUAGUGUUCUUAUUGGAUUUCGUGUUUCUGAUAAAUAUGAGUUUCAUUUCUUA